GGAACAUGGUUGCCCACCCCUGCUCUGUUGAGGAUCAGAAUGUUACUACGCACUAGCAAUCAGCAGGACCUUAAAAGCCCCAACAUAUGUUCUCAGCCUUCAGGCUCACACUGAAGAUUGCAAGAUUGAAGAUCAAAUUACAAGCUGCUGAUUAUGAAGAAUUAAUUUCUGAAGUGAGAGGGAAAUUCUCCAUCCUUGUGGACAAGAUUUAUGUGGAAGAUGAUUCGGGAACCGAGGUGGAUGAAUCUGUGUUGAAUUUGUUGAACAUUUCCACGCCUGUCUUGCUGACAUGGUGCAUAAUGUUUCAGUUGUUAGACCUGAUGACCUGAGAUACUAUAAACCCUUUGAUAUUCAAAUGUCUUACGGUGCAGAUUCUAACUGUUGUUGUGCCACACAGUUGCAUUAUUUAAGUUAUGUAGUUAUUUUUCAUCUGUA